rnacentral:lncRNA from 1 species
GUAGUUGUCAUAUUAUUUUAAAAACCUCAGUAAAAGAGGUCUUUGUUCACAGGAGACUAUUAAAGUAAAAGGAAGCUGUUCUUUUCCAUAUUAGAGAACAUUUCUGAUGCAGGUGGUUUUGAGAAAGUAAGUCUUUGCUUUUUCACCUUGACCUGACUGGGACCAUUUGCACAGGGAAUCCCGGAGGGGGUAUGUUUAGGGCCAAGAAAAUGGGCCUUGGGCCUCGGGGCUCUGGCUGCUCCUCCUUGCCCGCACUGAUUCAGUUCUCUCUGUGGGGAGGCAGUGGGAGUGACAGCCAGGACAGAUGAAUGGGGUGAAUCUUGGUUCUGGUUUUCGUAGGCCAUAGGGUCUUAAGCAAAUCAUUUAACCCGUUGAAGUCUCUGUUUCCUUGGCUGUUAAAAUAGGGUUUAAAGUGUUUACCGUAAAGGGCAGCUGUGAGGCUGUGAGAUGGGAGAAUCAAUCUACUGGUCAGAAAGCGGUUGUUGAAUGACUGUUCGGUGCCUGGGAUUUCUGAGUGAGCAAGGCUGGACCCCGAGCCCUGGGACCUCUGAAGUGAACACCACAGGGCCAUUUGGCUGGAGUGUGGUGGCGGAUCACAGCUCACUGCAAGCUCAACCUCAUGGGUUCAAGCAAGCCUACCUUGGACUCCUGAGUAGCUGGGACUACAGGUGUGGUUGCCCAGCUAAUUUUUAUAUUUUUGUAGAGAUGGGAUCUCACUAUGUUGCCCAGGCUGGUCUCGAACUCCUAGGUUCAAGCAAUGCUCCCCCCUCGGCCUCCCAAAGUGCUGGCAUUACAGGUGUGAGCCACCAUCACCGCACCUGGCCUCCCACAGAGGAUUUUCUAGGAGAUAAUGUGCUCUUCAGAAGGCUCAAGGAUCUCAGCUGGCAGAUUGAGUUCUUACUAUGCAUCAACAAAUUGACACUUGGGUUCAUAUGA